rnacentral:rRNA from 1 species
AUUGUGAGCUCGAUGAGUAGGGCGGGACACGUGGUAUCCUGUCUGAAUAUGGGGGGACCAUCCUCCAAGGCUAAAUACUCCUGACUGACCGAUAGUGAACCAGUACCGUGAGGGAAAGGCGAAAAGAACCCCGGCGAGGGGAGUGAAAAAGAACCUGAAACCGUGUACGUACAAGCAGUGGGAGCACGCUUCGGCGUGUGACUGCGUACCUUUUGUAUAAUGGGUCAGCGACUUAUAUUCUGUAGCAAGGUUAACCGAAUAGGGGAGCCGAAGGGAAACCGAGUCUUAACUGGGCGUUAAGUUGCAGGGUAUAGACCCGAAACCCGGUGAUCUAGCCAUGGGCAGGUUGAAGGUUGGGUAACACUAACUGGAGGACCGAACCGACUAAUGUUGAAAAAUUAGCGGAUGACUUGUGGCUGGGGGUGAAAGGCCAAUCAAACCGGGAGAUAGCUGGUUCUCCCCGAAAGCUAUUUAGGUAGCGCCUCGUGAAUUCAUCUCCGGGGGUAGAGCACUGUUUCGGCAAGGGGGUCAUCCCGACUUACCAACCCGAUGCAAACUGCGAAUACCGGAGAAUGUUAUCACGGGAGACACACGGCGGGUGCUAACGUCCGUCGUGAAGAGGGAAACAACCCAGACCGCCAGCUAAGGUCCCAAAGUCAUGGUUAAGUGGGAAACGAUGUGGGAAGGCCCAGACAGCCAGGAUGUUGGCUUAGAAGCAGCCAUCAUUUAAAGAAAGCGUAAUAGCUCACUGGUCGAGUCGGCCUGCGCGGAAGAUGUAACGGGGCUAAACCAUGCACCGAAGCUGCGGCAGCGACGCUUAUGCGUUGUUGGGUAGGGGAGCGUUCUGUAAGCCUGCGAAGGUGUGCUGUGAGGCAUGCUGGAGGUAUCAGAAGUGCGAAUGCUGACAUAAGUAACGAUAAAGCGGGUGAAAAGCCCGCUCGCCGGAAGA